CGCACGGGUGAGUAACGCGUGGGUAACCACCUUCGAAUCUGGGAUAACUCCGCGAAAGCGGUGCUAAUACCGGAUAAGACCACAGCCGUUUCGGCGGUAGAGGUAAAAGCUGACCCCUCCAUGGAAGUUAGCGUUCGAGGACGGGCCCGCGUCCUAUCAGCUUGUUGGUGGGGUAAAGGCCUACCAAGGCAGCGACGGGUAGCUGGUCUGAGAGGAUGAUCAGCCACACUGGAACUGGAACACGGUCCAG
rnacentral:rRNA from 1 species